rnacentral:lncRNA from 1 species
GUUUUACAGACGGGAAAAAUGAGGACCAUGAUCACCUGCCUAGCAAGUGACAGAAGCCAAAUCAUGUCCAAGUUCCCCAACAAGUCAAAGGCUAGUUCCUCCACAAAACAAUCACCUGGAGUUAAUCCACUUUGUCCCUCGGCACUGACCCAAAUUUCAUCUCUGGACACCAAGACCACCAAACAACUUGAAUCCCCCACUUCUCUGCUGGACCUCCACCUAUCAGGCCAGGAACAAAGUAAACAGAGGAGAAGCCACAGUGGGUGAGAGAUAGCACCAAGUAUCUGGAAGAACAGGAAGCAGUAGAGAAGGCGGCAGAACUGUGAAAGCGGAAUACCUAGUGCAUGGAGAGGAACGAGUCAAUUCUCACCAUGGUAGACCAGAAAAUUCCAGCAGCUAGAGGUGCCAGGUACUGGAGAAUGCUGGGGUAAGCCUUGGAAUGGAAAACAGGGGGAUUGGCCCAAACUGCUUGACCACCACUCCCAACCCUGGCAGCAGGCUGAGGAAGUGCUUUGUGAACUUAUGUUGACUCAUUUUCUCAAGACUAGGGGGCCCCAGAUAUGAGAGGGCAUGAGGGAGAGGCACUGUGCUGAAAGCAGGUAGGUUAAUUAAAAUCUGCACACUGACUAUUGAGCAACUGAAUGCUGGCUGCAGGUGGAUUUCUCUCUGGAGGCACUGAAUGGCCCAGAGGAAAGGCCUACAGAUACUGACAUCUGGAGGACCCCAGUGAAACAGCAGGAUCCACAACUAACCACUGGUACAGUAAAGUCAACAUUAGAAAAGAAAAGAAUGCCCUCUUUCUCGUCGGUUUUAAGAUUUUAAAUGUCUUAAAUAUAUGAGAGCUAAAGACCUCUCCAAGAAAGUCUCAAACAGAGCCCAAAGCAAACAGAAAGAGCAGAUGACAGAAAAGAAAGUAAAACAAAACAACCAACCAUAAAAUUGAAUAUCACCAAGAAACAUGAGAUAAUGCAUACAAGCAAUAAGAAAAGGACACUUUAAUGAAAAGGCUGGGAGUGGCUAGGCAUGGUAGCUCAGGCGUUCAGGACUAGCCUAGGCAACAUGUCAAAACCCCGUCUCACAAAAAAUGCAAAAAUUAGCCAGGCAUGGUGGUACAUGCCUGUAUUUCCUGACGCCUGACAGGCUGAGGUGGGAGGAUCGCUUGAGCCAAGGAGGCAGAGGUUGCAGUGAGCUCAAGUUGCACAGCUGCCACUCCAGCCUAGGUGACAAGAUCCUGUCUCAAAAAACAAACAAACAAACAAAAAACCCAAAACACAAAAGGCUGGCAGAGAAGGUAGAGAAAAUAUCUCACUCAGAAAGCAAAGCAAAAAAACAAAAAUAUUAAAAAUAGGGAAAAGAAAGAAGAUUAGAGGCUCAAAUCAUUUCAACUCUCAGUAAUAGCUCCAAAGACAAAGAACAGAGAAAACACGGGGCAGGGGGUACAUUAAAAAAAUCAGAAAAAAAACCAUGGAAAAACAUCUCGCAGGAUGAAAGGAUCUGGCUCUUCCGACUAAAAUGGUUCACCAAGUGCCUAGCAUAAAGAAGGAAAAGAAAAUAUACAUAACACUUUCCAAUGCACACGAUCCUGAAACACGAGAAAGCUGGAGACUUAAAGGCCGCAUAUGAAGAUUGAGAAUAAGGAUGGCACUGGACAUUAAACUUCUACAACUUUGCAAUCUAAAGACAAUAUUGACGAGCAUCUUCAAAUUCUGAGGCAAAAUUAAUUUUAAACUAGAAUUCUAUGUCCAGCUAAACUAGACAUCUGGGUUUGAGAGUAGAAUAAAGACAUUCGGACUUGCAAGGUCUUUAGAAUGUAUUCUUUCUCGGGAAGCUACUAGAGGAUGUGCCGUGUUGAGAAAAGGGUGUUAAGCAAGAGAGAUGCAUGGGAUCUGAGAAAUGGACUUUUCAUAGGAGAGAAACUAAGGGAAGGCAGACGAUGAUGAUGGUGAAGGAGCAGCAGUUCUUCAGGACAUCCCGAAAGCCAGGAGGGGUGUCUCCAGGAGAAGGUGGAAAUGCUUGCCGACUUGACAUGUUGGAUACUGUGGAAAUUGGUAUUUAGAGACAGCCAGGUUAGCAUACUUUUGGCUGCAAGUUGCAAAAGAUCCAACUCAAAACUGACCUAAAAUGAAAAACUGGGGUUUAUUCUCUCACAUAACCAGAAGUCCACGGCUAGCGCAGCUCCAGGAGUUAACUUAUUCAACAGCUCAACAUCAUCAAAGUUCCAGACUCUUUUCACAAACCUUUGCUCAGCCAUCCUCGGCAUAUUUGCUAUUUCCUGUCAGGCUUCUAGCUUGCAGGCUGGGCCUAGUCCUGCACAUACCAAAGCUGACGGGCAGGAAGGGGACUCUCUACAACCCAAGAGACCUAAGAAACCCUCCCAGGAAUACCAUCUCUCUUCCAACUUUCACUGGUCAGGCUCCUUCCUAAAUCCGUCACUGAUUUAAGAAAUGGGCCCUCCGGACUCGGUCAUACCAGUGCUCUUCUGCAUAGGACACACAAGCGAAUCAGGUGUACAGCCGGGUGGGGUAAUGAAUGAGGUUGUCAAAAUCCCAACACAUUCACAACCAACUAGAGAAACACUGAAUUAUAUCAGUUAGGAUAUUUAAGCCACGUGGAAAGGAGCAGACACCAGAAUAACACAGAAGCCUUGGUGGGCUAAAAAAAAAAAAGAGGAAAAUGGCUGUUGAGUAAUUGCUAAGGGUGCCUUCAAGAGAAGAAUUUAAGCAAUUCUGACGUAAAGUUUAGGAAAAAUCAACAGAGAUGUAGAAACUAAGCAAAUGAAAAUAAAUGACUAAUUCCAGAAAAAUUAAAAUAGUAGAGGAAAUGUAAUGGCUGCUCACUACUUGAAUCAAUAUUUAACAACAUUUAUGUAGGUAUAAUAAGGUAAACCCUGAACACUGAUUUCAUCAUACAUGAUGCAAUUCUACUGGGAAGGGAGGGAAGAGGAGUGGGGAACAGUGAUGGUAAAAGUUCUUAAUCUGCAUUUCCUGUAAUAGGAAAUCAAAAGAAAAUACCUGCAACUGAUAGAUGUAUUUAGACAUUUAGCAGAGCGAAGAAUAAUCAGUAGUUCUGGGGAGGGUGAGGCAGGGGUGCAGAGGAAUGGGGUAGAUUGCUGCUUCUGCUAUAAGCUUUAUAAAAGUACUCCUCAAAUUAUGUACACAUUAUCUUAGUUUCAAAGAUGAAACAAAGAGCAGGGGUUCUUUCCCCCUUUCUCUGAAUGGCUUCUUUAUACAGAGAACACAAAUCACAAUGUAUUAGCCAAACAAAUGCAAGCUCUACUGUUGCCUUUUCCCCAUUCACCUCCUUAUCCCAUCCCAGUUCCUCCAGCUCUCCACCCACACCCUUAUAUUGGGUGAUGUGAGAAUCCAUGUCAAAAGUUACAGCCAUCAGCGCUUUUGCAGUCUGGGAAGGAUUCAAUACACCGUGGCAGGAGGGGUCCUGGUAGUCGGUAGGCUGGAGUAGUCCUGGGACCCCAUGGUCUGGAAAGGAAAGGCACAGCCAAUUCCUCAGCAGGUGUAACUGCAGUGACAGACCUGAGUGAGUACCCCGUUAGACUACUUUGAGAAAGCAGCCAGAUACUCAUAGGCAUGACUACAUGAGCCUGACUGAGCUACCAAUCCUUCUAAGCUUUGUUUGCUCAAACAACUGCAGUUUUAAAAUUCAAACAUCCUAGCUGUAGUUAAACUUCUGCACGUAACAAAUUUCCACCUUCUUCCUUCUUAUUCAAACUCCAUAGGCUUUGACAUUUUAGGGACAGUCUCAAGGGAGAAAGUCUAAUCACAAGGAGCUAUUUACUUGGAAGGCCCAAAAUCAGAGACAAGGAGAACUUCCCAGUGACCCUGACUUUAACACCGCAAUCCACAGUGAUCCCCUAAUUCAUUUAGCACAUUUCCUCCUAUGAGCUUAACUUACCUGAGUGGCUUUCAAACAAAAUCUAGCAUGGAACCUAAUCCAUAAAACAGCUAGGUAGGCAGCUGUGAACCCCCCACUGCCCCGGUACUCAUUAAAUUCCACUUUACUGUGCCCACGACUCCCCCUGGCUCUUCUUUUCCACAUCCUGCCUUCCUUUGACAGGAUGAAAGUCCUCUCAAGUCCCACCUUCUCCAGGAAGCCUUCUCAGACUAUGCUCACUGAAGAUGUCUUCUCCCCUGAAUCAACUCAUUCAACUACACUUUAUAUAUCUGGUUGGUCCCACCAUAUAUGAUUGGUAAACCUUCCACAUUAAUUGCCUCACACUGAUAUGCUUACUACUCAGUGUAACAGAGGAGACAGCUGAGAUUUUUAAAAAAGACCAUUUAAAAAAACAAUUUAUAUAAAUAGAUUCGUAUACAAAGAAGAAACACAUAUACAGAGUAC